AGAACGCUGAAGGAGAAGCUUGCUUCUCUGGAUGAGUUGCGAACGGGUGAGUAACGCGUAGGUAACCUGCCUGGUAGCGGGGGAUAACUAUUGGAAACGAUAGCUAAUACCGCAUAAUAGUAGAUGUUGCAUGACAUUUGCUUAAAAGGUGCAAUUGCAUCACUACCAGAUGGACCUGCGUUGUGUUAGCUAGUUGGUGGGGUAACGGCUCACCAAGGCGACGAUACAUAGCCGACCUGAGAGGGUGAUCGGCCACACUGGGACUGAGACACGGCCCAGACUCCUACGGGAGGCAGCAGUAGGGAAUCUUCGGCAAUGGACGGAAGUCUGACCGAGCAACGCCGCGUGAGUGAAGAAGGUUUUCGGAUCGUAAAGCUCUGUUGUAAGAGAAGAACGAGUGUGAGAGUGGAAAGUUCACACUGUGACGGUAUCUUACCAGAAAGGGACGGCUAACUACGUGCCAGCAGCCGCGGUAAUACGUAGGUCCCGAGCGUUGUCCGGAUUUAUUGGGCGUAAAGCGAGCGCAGGCGGUUAGAUAAGUCUGAAGUUAAAGGCUGUGGCUUAACCAUAGUACGCUUUGGAAACUGUUUAACUUGAGUGC
rnacentral:rRNA from 1 species